rnacentral:tRNA from 1 species
GGUCCUGUAGUGUAGUGGUUUAUCAUUUCGGAUUUUGAUUCCGACGACCCGAGUUCGAAUCUCGGCUGGACCU